UACGUAGGAGACGAGCGUUGUCCGGAGUUACUGGGCGUAAAGGGGGUGCAGGCGGCGGCACGCGUGUGCGGUGAAAUCUCCCGGCUUAACUGGGAGGGGGCCGUGCAGACGGUGUCGCUUGAGGCUCGCAGAGGGGCGUGGAACUCCGGGUGGAGCGGUGAAAUGCGUAGAGAUCCGGAAGAACACCGACGGCGCAGGCAGCGCCCUGGGCGAGACCUGACGCUGAGGCACGAAAGCUGGGGGAGCAAACAGG
rnacentral:rRNA from 1 species